rnacentral:tRNA from 1 species
GGAAGGGCUGUGGCUCAGUGGUAGAGCCUCUGGUUGGCACACAGAAGGUCCCAGGUUCCACCCCCAGUAUCUCCU